rnacentral:rRNA from 1 species
CACGUAGGGUGCGAGCGUUGUCCGGAAUUAUUGGGCGUAAAGAGCUCGUAGGCGGUGUGUCGCGUCGGCCGUGAAAACCUGCAGCUUAACUGUGGGCUUGCGGUCGAUACGGGCAUCACUGGAGUUCGGCAGGGGAGACUGGAAUUCCUGGUGUAGCUGUGAAAUGCGCAGAUAUCAGGAGGAACACCGGUGGCGAAGGCGGGUCUCUGGGCCGAUACUGACGCUGAGGAGCGAAAGCGUGGGGAGCGAACAGG